UGGGGAAUAUUGGACAAUGGGCGCAAGCCUGAUCCAGCAAUGCCGCGUGUGUGAAGAAGGCCUGCGGGUUGUAAAGCACUUUUGGUGGGGAGGAAGGUCUCGUGGUUAAUACCCACGGGAAUUGACGCUACCCACAGAAUAAGCACCGGCUAACUCCGUGCCAGCAGCCGCGGUAAUACGGAGGGUGCAAGCGUUAAUCGGAAUUACUGGGCGUAAAGCGCGUGUAGGCGGCUACUUAAGUUGGGUGUGAAAUCCCCGGGCUUAACCUGGGAACUGCAUUCAAUACUGGGUAGCUAGAGUCUGAGAGAGGAGGGUGGAAUUUCCGGUGUAGCAGUGAAAUGCGUAGAUAUCGGAAGGAACACCAGUGGCGAAGGCGGCCCUCUGGCUCAAGACUGACGCU
rnacentral:rRNA from 1 species